ACGCUCGACACCUACGGAGGCAGCAGUUGGGAAUAUUGGACAAUGGAGGAAACUCUGAUCCAGUGACGCCGCGUGAAGGAAGAAGGUCUUCGGAUUGUAAACUUAUUUUGUCAGGGAAGAAGAAUGACUGUACCUGAAGAAAAAGCACCGGCUAACUACGUGCUAGCAGCCGCGGUAAUCUGAGCGGGCUGGCAAGGC
rnacentral:rRNA from 1 species